UCAAAUUCGAUGAAAAAGAAAGUAGUUUAUUUCUUUUCGAAAAGCGAGUCGGGGAAUGGUGUGAGCCUGAUGCGAAAGAAUAAAUGAAACGCACUUUGGAGAAGAUUCCUGAACACUAGUAGGGAAUUCCGGGGAGUCACCUCGUUAACAAUGGAAAGUGGCUGCAAUUUGCGGCAACUAGAGUGGUACCACGGGAACUAUGCUCUCGUCUCUAUU
rnacentral:ncRNA from 1 species